CUUUCAGUCAGAUGUUUGCUGCU
rnacentral:ncRNA from 2 species